CCUACGGGUGGCAGCAGUGAGGAAUAUUGGUCAAUGGGCGCGAGCCUGAACCAGCCAAGUAGCGUGAAGGAUGACUGCCCUACGGGUUGUAAACUUCUUUUAUAAAGAAAUAAAUUGGUGCACGUGUCCCUUCUUGUCUUUACUUUAUGUAUAAGGAUCGGCUAACUCCGUUCCAUCAGCCGCGGUAAUACGGAGGAUCCGAGCGUUAUCCGGACUUAUUGGGUUGAAAGGGAGCGUAGAUGGGUUGUUAAGUCAGUUGUGAAAGUUUGCGGCGCAACCGUAAAAUUGCAAUUGAUACUGGAAGUCUUGAGUACAGUAGAGGAAGGCGGAAUUCGUGGUGUAGCGGUGAAAUGCGUAGAUAUCACGAGGAACUCCGGUUGCGAAGGCAGCUUACUGAACUGCAACUGACAUUGAUGCUCGAAAGUGUGGGUAUCAAACAGGAUUAGAUACCCUUGUAGUC
rnacentral:rRNA from 1 species